GAUGAACGCUGGCGGCGUGCCUAAUACAUGCAAGUCGAGCGAACAGACGAGGAGCUUGCUCCUCUGACGUUAGCGGCGGACGGGUGAGUAACACGUGGAUAACCUACCUAUAAGACUGGGAUAACUUCGGGAAACCGGAGCUAAUACCGGAUAAUAUAUUGAACCGCAUGGUUCAAUAGUGAAAGACGGUUUUGCUGUCACUUAUAGAUGGAUCCGCGCCGCAUUAGCUAGUUGGUAAGGUAACGGCUUACCAAGGCAACGAUGCGUAGCCGACCUGAGAGGGUGAUCGGCCACACUGGAACUGAGACACGGUCCAGACUCCUACGGGAGGCAGCAGUAGGGAAUCCUCUGCAAUGGGCGAAAGCCUGACGGAGCAACGCCGCGUGAGUGAUGAAGGUCUUCGGAUCGUAAAACUCUGUUAUUAGGGAAGAACAAAUGUGUAAGUAACUAUGCACGUCUUGACGGUACCUAAUCAGAAAGCCACGGCUAACUACGUG
rnacentral:rRNA from 1 species